GUGCAGCAGGCGAGAAACUUCCACAAAUGGGGAAACCCUGAUGGGAGCGACGCCGCGUGCGGGAUGAAGGCCCUAUGGGUUGUAAACCGCUGUUCAGUGGAAAGAACAUCCUCCGGCUGAAUAGGUCGGAGGCCUGACGUUACCACUGCAGAAAGUCCCGGCCAACUCCGUGCCAGCAGCCGCGGUAAUACGGGGGGACGAGCGUUGUCCGGAAUCAUUGGGCGUAAAGGGCGCGUAAGGCGGCGAGGGAAGUC
rnacentral:rRNA from 1 species